CUUGGUCAUUUAGAGGAAGUAAAAGUCGUAACAAGGUCUCCGUUGGUGAACCAGCGGAGGGAUCAUUACCGAGUUUACAACUCCCAAACCCCUGUGAACAUACCACUUGUUGCCUCGGCGGAUCAGCCCGCUCCCGGUAAAACGGGACGGCCCGCCAGAGGACCCCUAAACUCUGUUUCUAUAUGUAACUUCUGAGUAAAACCAUAAAUAAAUCAAAACUUUCAACAACGGAUCUCUUGGUUCUGGCAUCGAUGAAGAACGCAGCAAAAUGCGAUAAGUAAUGUGAAUUGCAGAAUUCAGUGAAUCAUCGAAUCUUUGAACGCACAUUGCGCCCGCCAGUAUUCUGGCGGGCAUGCCUGUUCGAGCGUCAUUUCAACCCUCAAGCACAGCUUGGUGUUGGGACUCGCGUUAAUUCGCGUUCCUCAAAUUGAUUGGCGGUCACGUCGAGCUUCCAUAGCGUAGUAGUAAAACCCUCGUUACUGGUAAUCGUCGCGGCCACGCCGUUAAACCCCAACUUCUGAAUGUUGACCUCGGAUCAGGUAGGAAUACCCGCUGAACUUAAGCAUAUCAAUA
rnacentral:rRNA from 1 species